rnacentral:rRNA from 1 species
GACGAACGCUGGCGGCGUGCCUAAUGCAUGCAAGUCGAGCGGGGCUACGGUCUUCGGACUGUAGCUUAGCGGCGAACGGGUGAGUAACACGUAGGUAAUCUACCCUUCAGAGGAGGACAACCUCAGGAAACUGAGGCUAAACCUUCAUACGUUCACUGGUAGGGAUACUGGUGAAGAAAGAGUUACCUUAGUGGUAGCUGCUGAAGGAUGAGCCUGCGGCCCAUCAGGUAGUUGGUGAGGUAACGGCUCACCAAGCCGAAGACGGGUAACCGGUCUGAGAGGAUGUCCGGUCACACUGGGACUGAGACACGGCCCAGACUCCUACGGGAGGCAGCAGCAGGGAAUCUUGGGCAAUGGGCGAAAGCCUGACCCAGCGACGCCGCGUGGAGGAAGAAGUCCUCGGGCGUAAACUCCUUUUCUCAGGGAAAAGGAUGAUGGUACCUGAGGAAGUAAGCCCCGGCUAACUAACGUGCCAGCAGCCGACGGUAAAGCUACGUAGA